ACACCUCAACUCUUUAUGGUUUUCCAUGAUGAGCUUGGACUUUGGGGGUUUUGCUGGCCUAUGGUCGGCUCCUCUAAAAUAAAUCAGCUUACCGGUGUUUGGUGGGUAUCAUGGGUGUGAUAACUAUCUACGCUUGUGGUUUUUCCACCAGGUAACCUUCGACAGCGGAGGUUCACUGGAGCUCAUAGAUGUCUCUCCUCAGCGAGGACAGCCCUUUGAAU
rnacentral:misc_RNA from 1 species